GACGAACGCUGGCGGCGCGCCUAACACAUGCAAGUCGAACGGAGCUGAGAGAAGCUUGCUUUUCUUAGCUUAGUGGCGAACGGGUGAGUAACGCGUGAGUAACCUGCCCUGGAGUGGGGGACAACAGUUGGAAACGACUGCUAAUACCGCAUAAGCCCACGAUCCGGCAUCGGAUUGAGGGAAAAGGAUUUAUUCGCUUCAGGAUGGACUCGCGUCCAAUUAGCUAGUUGGUGAGGUAACGGCCCACCAAGGCGACGAUUGGUAGCCGGACUGAGAGGUUGAACGGCCCCAUUGGGACUGAGACACGGCCCAGACUCCUACGGGAGGCAGCAGUGGGGGAUAUUGCACAAUGGGGGAAACCCUGAUGCAGCGACGCCGCGGGGAGGAAGAAGGUUUUCGGAUUGUAAACUCCUGUCGUUAGGGACGAUAAUGACGGUACCUAACAAGAAAGCACCGGCUAACUACGU
rnacentral:rRNA from 1 species